rnacentral:rRNA from 1 species
AUGCUGUUCACAUUCUCUCUCAGAGAUGCUGCUAAGGACUCGUACUAUUCUUUGCCAUCAAGAUCAUACACUUGGGGUGAUAUUUCACAAGCUUUCCUGCACAGAUAUUUUCCACUUUACAAGCAAGCUGCAAUUCGUGACCAGAUCCUCAGUUUUGCGCAAGAUGGAAGUGAGAGCUUGUAUGCAGCUUGGGAGAGAUAUAAGUAUUUGCUUAGAAAAUGUCCUAAUCAUGGGCAAAAGGAUUGGUUAGUGCUCCAGAUAUUCUAUAGAGGGAUGACACAUGCUUCGAGAGAUCUUAUUGAUAUGUCAGCUGGUGGAACAAUCAUGAACAAGACCGUUGAGGGUGCAAUUAUUCUCAUUGAGAGCAUUGCCUUCCACCAAAUGCAAUGGGGUUGUGAAAGGCCUAGUUCAAAUCCGAAGGUUGCAAGCCAUCUGCAAUCAGAAGCUGUGUGUUCCAUAAGUGAACAGAAAUCAUCCAUGGUGCCUAAUAUUCAAAACCAGCAUGUUCCAUUCCGGGGACAACAACAUUUCAGAGCUGAAUUAGAUCCUCCAUGUAGAAAGAUUGAUCUUACUUCAAGUAUCCUUGAUGAUGAUUAUGAUAUUUUUCAAGAUGAUGCAACCAUUGUAGAUCGGAUGGAAACCACAGUAGCAGAUCCAAUACCUCAUGGCAAUGAAACUGUCCAGAUUGAGUCAAAGUUGCAAGAAGAUGUUUAUGAGGAACCUACUCUGAUUGAUGCUAAGUUGAGACAGCAAGAUAUGGAGAAAUUCACUUGUGUUAGUCAACUAUGUGACUCGUGGAAUUUAGUCGUGGCACCAAUUGCCCACACUUGUGUUACAACUGUAUCUGGGAUAUUUGUCAAGAAGAAAUCAUUAGCUCCACCGGUGGUUGCCUCUAUCUCAGUUAAAGAGAGUAUCUUAGAGAAGAAUAGUGAAGAUGAGAUUCCAACUCCUGCACAUACAUCUAAGCAAGUCGGAGACAUUCCAAGGAGAGAGAUAGUUGAGUCAAAUUUAGAAGAGUUGAUACUUCAAUAUCCUGAGAAGAUCCCACGUGUUGCUGAGCUGCAUGACUGGUGGAAGUCAUCAGUGUCAGUGUUGAAACUUAGCAGUGAUGGUGAUGAGGAGAAUAUUGCUCAGAAAGACAGCGAGGUAGUGAUCUCAGCACCCCUACCAGAUCAUGUUAGUGCAUAUUCACAGAUGGGGACACUUCAGACUCAAUUAGGUGUUGCUGGUAGUAGCACCAUAGAAGAUCCAGAGGAAGAGAGAUCUCAACUUGAAGAAGAAAUACUCGAAGAGGAGGAACAAGAUGAUCCAGAGCUCGAACAACCAAGUGAUCAAGUUGAAGAUUCAUCAUCUACUACUCUUGAAGAAGCAAAAGAAGUUGUUGUAGAUGAACUUGAAGAACCAGAAAUUCAUUUGCCUAUUGUCAUACAAGAGCGUGAUGUAGAAGGUUUAUCUAAUCCUCUUGAUGACAUGCGUCCCUAUGACUUAUUUGCUUCUACCUUGCAUUACAUAAUACCAUCAAUUAAGGUAGAUUUGAGAAAGUAUUUGCUUGGAUAUGAUGAUAUAUACCAUGUUCAUGGCAUUGCUCACAUUUGUUACGAUUACACUUAUUUUCCUCAUGCUAGACCCAUGCUUAAUGAAACAUGUCAUUCUCAUGUUAGUCUGGAGCUUAAUGAUUCAUAUCAUCUUCAUGCUAGCAUUGAGCUUACUGAUUUCUACCAUUCUAAACAUGUGCUUUAUAGCUAUGCUUAUGUAAUUGGGUACUCUAUUGAUGAUUUAGAGGGCAUCUACCCUAUCACUUGUAGUUGUUGUUUGUGUGAGUCCUAUUUCAGGUUUUUGCUUGUGCAUGAAUCAAUACAUGCUGACCAGGUUCGAGGUGACAUCCCUUGGGAUCCUGGUGGAGUCAGAGCAUGGCGAUGA